rnacentral:misc_RNA from 1 species
UCCCCGUUACCAAGGCAGUCUGACUAGAAAAUACAACUAGCCACGAGGGUUGCGCUCGUUGAAGGACUUAACCUAACAUCUCACGACACGAGCUGACGACGACCAUGCAUCACCUGUCACUGGUCCAACUAAAUGACGUCCACCUUUCGGUGAACUACGACCAGGAUGUCAAGUCUGGGUAAGGUUCUUCGCGUAGCCUCGAAUUAAACCACACGCUCCACCGCUUGUGCGGGUCCCCGUCAAUUCCUUUGAGUUUUAGUCUUGCGACCGUACUCCCCAGGCGGGAUACUUAACGCGUUAGCUUCGCUACUGAACGGGUCGAUACGUCCAACAGCUAGUAUCCAUCGUUUACGGCGUGGACUAC